CAAUAGCAUAUAUUAAUGUUGUUGCAGUUGAAAAGCUCGUAGUUGAACUUUUGGUAGGAGCGACCUGGCCUUGGGCGCAUGCCCUUGUUUGCCGUGUGUCGUAUCUGGCCAUCCUUUUCCGUUUCGGCGGGAAUCUUUUACUGUGAGUAAACUGGAGUGCUCAAAACAAGACGUUUGUUUGGUACAUUAAAGCAUGGAAUAAUAAGAUAGGACCUGGUUACUAUUUUGUUGGUUUGCAUAGCUAGGUAAUGAUUAACAGGGACAGUUGGGGGUAUUCGUAUUUAAUUGUCAGAGGUGAAAUUCUCGGAUUUAUGAAAGACGAACGACUGCGAAAGCAUUUACCAAGGAUGUUUNCAUUA
rnacentral:rRNA from 1 species